GCAAUGAAAAAAAAUGGCUUUUGUUUGAUGGUGGAGAUGAAUGAUCAAUAAUGUCGUGAAUGCUCUCUGCUUGUGAUGGUGAGGUGAAUCCUGAUCAAGGUCUGUGAUGGUUUUUUUUCUGAUGAGGAAGUUGUUGAGAAGUUUUCUGUUGAGUGAAUCAAGUUGAGAGUAGUGUCUUUCAUCAUAGAUGCGAGUAACCCCUUUUACCUGUCUCCUCUGCUUCUGCACUGCAAUCACUGCAACCACUCUGCAAUCCGGC
rnacentral:lncRNA from 1 species